rnacentral:rRNA from 1 species
AAGUACGGUAAUUACGUGGGACGUAAAGCGCAUGCGAGGUUGGUUUAGUUAAGUCAGAUGUAGAAACGGCCCGGGGCUACAACCGUACGGUAAUUGCUAUUUAGAAACGUGGACAAACUAGAGUACUGUAGGAGGGGGUAGAAUUUCAGGUGUAGCGGUGAAAUGCGUAGAGAUCUGAAGGAAUACCGGUGGCGAAGGCGGCCCCCUGGACAGAUACUGACACUCAGAUGCGAAAGCGUGGGGAGCAAACAGGAUUAGAUACCCUGGUAG